rnacentral:tRNA from 1 species
ACGACCGUAGCUCAGCUGGUUAGAGCACUACCUUGACAUGGUAGGGGUCGGUGGUUCGAGUCCACUCGGUCGUA